UCCUCCGUCGUAGCAAGACCCACCCCGGGCAGACUUGCGCGAUUAGGGAAGGCAUCUGCGUUCCGUUUCAAAUAAAUAGAAGGGGUACGCUAAAGAAAAAAA